rnacentral:rRNA from 1 species
AGAAGACCAGGAAAAGAUAAGGAUAAAGAAUGUCAUAUAUCUCAGGAGCUAGAUCACUUCUCGAUGAACAAGUCAGAAUUGCCUCAACAAAAUGAAUGGAAUUGGACCGAAAAAAGCCAUUCAGCUUCGUUAUCGAUUAGGUAUCAGUGGGAACAUCAAGAUGAAUGA